ACGUGCUGCCCCGGCAGAUGCGACUAUAUAAGAGAGGACGGCGCCCAUCCCACGUACAGUCCGACCCCUCUGCACGAGCGGCUCUUCCAGUCUCGAGAUGAGGACUCUGACGCUGUUGGUGCUGGUGGCGGCGCUGGUGGGCGUGGCGCUGUGCGUCCCGCUGCCGCUGCCGCUGCCCGGCCCCAUGCCGGCCGCCCCCGCCGCCCCCGCCGCCCCCCGCGAGUCACUGCGCGCCAGCGAGCAGUUCUACUACCCGUACGCCUACUCGUACUACCCGUACGGGUACUACCUGCUGGGCUGAGGCGGCGGCGCCCCCCACCCGCCACUGCUCACCGACUCCUGCGACGGACUCUUCAAGGACCCGGCUCUCGCUUUCUGUACUUGUCAAUUAGCCUUGUAGCGCAUAAUAAACAGACACUCCUGGCCAAA